AUCUUCCAGGGCCUGAUCCAAAGCUCACUGAAGUUAAUGGGAGUCUUUCUGUUGACUUCAAUGAGUUUUGGAUUAGGCACCAAAUUUAU
rnacentral:pre_miRNA from 1 species